GGGGGCCAAACCGUGAACUGAACAAGGUGGAGGUCCAGAAUUAAUUUCAUAUGGUUUAGCUGACCACAUUUUUUUCGCUGUGUAGAAGUCUCGAAAAUACAGAAUAAUGAAAACAUUUGACACAUUCUUGUUUACAGUAUCCAUAAGACUACAAUGACAGUUUGCAUGGAUGGACCUUUACAGACUGGGAGCGGUUCGUGAUUAAAUGAAUUGAAGAUGGAUUCCAGUUUUCCCACAUUACAGGACUUGAACAUAUGAAGCUUUAAUAGUGUCGUAUUCUGGAGCCAUUCUAUCCACAUCUUGUCUUCUACUGAGUGGAGAUUUCUGUAUGAGAAUCGACAAUAGGAGUCAAAGCAGGCAAAAACACCAAGGCAUUUAGUUAUGGUCUACAAGUCUCUCUAAGUCAG